GCGAAGGUGGCGGAAUUGGUAGACGCGCUAGCUUCAGGUGUUAGUGUUCUUACGGACGUGGGGGUUCANNAGUCCCCCCCCUCGCACCA
rnacentral:tRNA from 1 species